GAGGAAGGCGUGUUUGGAGGAGCCACAAGAGUUGUUUUUGUUAAUCAGCGAGUUAUUCGUAGGAUAUUGAGGACAAAUGAAUUCGAAACGCUUCGCUUUGCUUUCGCCUUUCGCUGCACUGCCGUCGUGGUGUCAUUUGGGAAUGACAGCCACAUUCAGUUCGAAUUCUUGCUGUUUGUGAAGAUUUAUUGAGAAAGCUGUUUUGCACGAGGUGACCUUGAGUAACCUUCAAGAUGAAGAAAUUAUCCCGAACUGUACCGAGCGCGAAGUUGUCGCGAAGUGUGGCCGAAACCGAGAAGAUAAAAGCGUCAAGAACCGGAUUUCUAUCGGCGCUAACCAAGAAAAUGAAUGAUGUGAAACGUUUGGCAACAGAAAAUUAGAAUAAACGUUAAUCAAGUGAAUGCGCGUUUGAACUUGUCCUAAUAGUGCCGUCGUGGUGUCAUUUGGGAAUGACAGCCACAAGAGUCAAUGGUGGGAGGCCACAGAUACAAAGCGACAACGACUACAUGGGGUAGGUGUACAUGCAUUUUCGCCAGAGGUGAUGACACCGAGAUUUUCUCAGGUUAGAGUAAGGCUGUGUUUUAAAGUAAAAAAAAGUAUAUAGGGUGUGGGUUUUAGGUCUCAAGUAUGUUUGUUCCAUAAAAAAAGGACUAAAGCAAAUAAAAUGUAUAAUAAAGACUUAUUUUCAUUUUCUCCAAAGAAUUUUAACAUAAUAACUAAACAAAUUGUCAGAAUAAGUAAACUUAACUCACACUUGUUAUAAUGGUUAGUCAAAUGUGUAGUUAAGAAACUUCUGGAUUUCAAAUAAAAUAUUAAAGCAAACGACAAGAAUAACUGAUACAUGAAAAUGUUAUCAUGUUCUUCACACUAAUAUGCUGUGUGUUUCCACCAGGGAAGUCUGACGAGGUGCAGUUCCAUCUCCUUACACUUCCCUCCAUGAACAUGUUAGUUUGUUGUUUACAUAAACAUUUUAUUGCGUCUUUUUACAUGAACAUGUUAUGUUGUUUAAAUGAAAAUGUUAUAUUGUUUAAAAGAUCAUGUUAUUUUGUUGUUUACAUGAACAUGUUGUGUUUACAUGAUCAUGUUAUUGUGUUGUUUACAUGAUCAUCUUAUUAUGUUAUUUACCUGUAUCUCCCUUGUCGCCCUUGGGACCGACAGGCCCAGGGUCUCCUUUUAAGCCUGCUGGACCUAAGUGGAAAAAAUAAAAAAAUGAAAUUUAAUCCAA